AUUGAACGCUGGCGGCAUGCUUUACACAUGCAAGUCGAACGGUAACAGGCCGCAAGGUGCUGACGAGUGGCGAACGGGUGAGUAAUGCAUCGGAACGUGCCCAGUCGUGGGGGAUAACGCAGCGAAAGCUGCGCUAAUACCGCAUACGAUCUAUGGAUGAAAGCGGGGGACCGUAAGGCCUCGCGCGAUUGGAGCGGCCGAUGUCAGAUUAGGUAGUUGGUGGGGUAAAGGCUCACCAAGCCAACGAUCUGUAGCUGGUCUGAGAGGACGACCAGCCAGACUGGGACUGAGCCACAGCCCAGACUCCUACGGGAGGCAGCAGUGGGGAAUUUUGGACAAUGGGCGCAAGCCUGAUCCAGCAAUGCCGCGUGCAGGAAGAAGGCCUUCGGGUUGUAAACUGCUUUUGUACGGAACGAAAAGGCUCUGGAUAAUACCUGGGGCUCAUGACGGUACCGUAAGAAUAAGCACCGGCUAACUACGUGCCAGCCGCCGCCGUAACAC
rnacentral:rRNA from 1 species